rnacentral:rRNA from 1 species
UAGGGAAUCUUCCACAAUGGACGAAAGUCUGAUGGAGCAACGCCGCGUGAGUGAUGAAGGGUUUCGGCUCGUAAAACUCUGUUGUUGGAGAAGAACGGGUGUCAGAGUAACUGUUGACAUCGUGACGGUAUCCAACCAGAAAGCCACGGCUAACUACGUGCCAGCAGCCGCGGUAAUACGUAGGUGGCAAGCGUUGUCCGGAUUUAUUGGGCGUAAAGCGAGCGCAGGCGGUUUUUUAGGUCUGAUGUGAAAGCCUUCGGCUUAACCGGAGAAGUGCAUCGGAAACCGGGAGACUUGAGUGCAGAAGAGGACAGUGGAACUCCAUGUGUAGCGGUGAAAUGCGUAGAUAUAUGGAAGAACACCAGUGGCGAAGGCGGCUGUCUGGUCUGCAACUGACGCUGAGGCUCGAAAGCAUGGGUAGCGAACAGGAUUAGAUACCCUGGUAGUCCAUGCCGUAAACGAUGAGUGCUAAGUGUUGGAGGGUUUUCCGCCCUUCAGUGCUGCAGCUAACGCAUUAAGCACUCCGCCUGGGGAGUACGACCGC